GCCACCUUUUAUAUUAUAUGUUAUAUUAUAUUAUAUACAUAUACAUAUGCAUAUAAUAUUAUAUGAUUAUGUUAAAAUUGCAUACACACUAUACCUUACAAAUAUUGGGGUGCCAGACAUAUUGAAUAGAUAGGUACAUAAAUUGCCUCACUUGAUAUUUGAAUAUAAUUCCCCGUUCACAAAAUUGGGUUAUCAGUCAAGUACGGAGUCAAAACUCAAGUCAUAAAGAAAACAUGUAGGUUAGUACUCCCAAGACAGUAUAUAACAGAAAAAAAACGUGGAAGGGGAAUUCAAAUCUCUAAACCCCUAUUCCUGCUAAGGACAGUUCUUCCAAUAAAAUUUACUAAAAGUAAAUUUCAGUUAUGGUAAUAAUAGUUGUUUAUUUAGCUGAGAAACAAAAAAAAAA